GUGCUUACUUUGGCUGCACAUAUACUAAACUUGGAACGAUACAGAGAUUAGCAUGGCCCCUGCAUUAGGAUGACACGCAAAUUUGUGAAGCAUUCCAUAUUUUU
rnacentral:snRNA from 1 species